rnacentral:ncRNA from 1 species
CACAAACCUGUGAGAAAGAGAAGUAGUCGGUGCGGCAAUUCCUUCAGAGAGCCCCGGAUGGUGGGAUCGGGGCGGUGAGCGGCCGGUGAAUGGACUUUUGAGGGCGGACCGAACGGCGCAGGCCAAGUAGGGACCGACGGGAGCCCCACCCGUUACCCACCGGGGUGCGUAUGAUGGUACGCAGAAGCGAGCGGACGCCGCUGGGCGUCAAUUUGGGUGGUAUCGCAGAAGCAAUGGCUUUUGUCCCAUGU